UACGUAGGGGGCUAGCGUUGUCCGGAAUCAUUGGGCGUAAAGCGCGUGUAGGCGGUCCGGUAAGUCCGCUGUGAAAGUCAAGGGCUCAACCCUUGAAAGCCGGUUGAUACUGUCGGGCUAGAGUCCGGAAGAGGCGAGUGGAACUCCUGGUGUAGCGGUGGAAUGCGCAGAUAUCAGGAAGAACACCAACGGCGAAGGCAGCUCGCUGGGACGGUACUGACGCUGAGACGCGAAAGCGUGGGGAGCGAACAGG
rnacentral:rRNA from 1 species